AUUCGCGGCCUAUCAGCUUGUUGGUGAGGUAAUGGCUCACCAAGGCAUCGACGGGUAGCUGGUUUGAGAGAACGAUCAGCCACACUGGGACUGAGACACGGCCCAGACUCCUACGGGAGGCAGCAGUGGGGAAUCUUGCACAAUGGGCGAAAGCCUGAUGCAGCGACGCCGCGUGGGGGAUGAAGGCCCUAGGGUCGUAAACCCCUUUCAGUAGGGACGAAAAUGACGGUACCUACAGAAGAAGCCCCGGCCAACUACGUGCCAGCAGCCGCGGUAAGACGUAGGGGGCGAGCGUUGUCCGGAUUUAUUGGGCGUAAAGGGCUCGUAGGUGGUUGCGUAAGUCGGAUGUGAAAACUCCAGGCUCAACUUGGAGACGCCAUCCGAUACUGCGCUGACUUGAGUCCGGUAGAGGAGUGUGGAAUUUCUAGUGUAGCGGUGAAAUGCGCAGAUAUUAGAAGGAACACCUAUUGCGAAGGCAGCACUCUGGGCCGGCACUGACACUGAGGAGCGAAAGCGUGGGUAGCAAACAGGAUUAGAUACCCUGGUAGUCCACGCCGUAAACGGUGGGCACUGGGUGUGGGGACUUUCAACGGUUUCCGUGCCGAAGCUAACGCAUUAAGUGCCCCGCCUGGGGAGUACGGAAU
rnacentral:rRNA from 1 species